AUUGAACGCUGGCGGCGGGCCUAACACAUGCAAGUCGAACGAGUGGCGGACGGGUGAGUAAUGUCUGGGAAACUGCCUGAUGGAGGGGGAUAACUACUGGAAACGGUAGCUAAUACCGCAUACCAUCGGAUGUGCCCAGGUGGGAUUAGCUAGUAGGUGGGGUAAAGGCUAACCUAGGCGACGAUCCCUAGCUGGUCUGAGAGGAUGACCGGCCACACUGGAACUGAGACACGGGGCAGACUCCUACGGGAGGCAGCAGGGGGGAAUAUUGCAGAAUGGGCGCAAGCCGGAUGCAGCCAAGCCGCGUGUAUGAAGAAGGGCUGCGGGUUGGAGGGUACUAUCAGCAGGGAGGCGAUACCGGCAGAGGAAGCACCGGCUAACUCCGUGCCAGCCGCCGCGGUAAUAC
rnacentral:rRNA from 1 species